GUAGGUGGCAAGCGUUGUCCGGAAUUAUUGGGCGUAAAGCGCGCGCAGGCGGUCCUUUAAGUCUGAUGUGAAAGCCCACGGCUCAACCGUGGAGGGUCAUUGGAAACUGGGGGACUUGAGUACAGAAGAGGAAAGCGGAAUUCCAAGUGUAGCGGUGAAAUGCGUAGAGAUUUGGAGGAACACCAGUGGCGAAGGCGGCUUUCUGGUCUGUAACUGACGCUGAGGCGCGAAAGCGUGGGGAGCAAACAGGAUUAGAUACCCUGGUAGUCCACGCCGUAAACGAUGAGUGCUAAGUGUUAGGGGGUUUCCCGCCCCCCUUAGUGCUGCAGCUAACGCAUUAAGCACUCCGCCUGGGGGAGUACGGCCCGCAAGGCUGA
rnacentral:rRNA from 1 species